rnacentral:rRNA from 1 species
AGGACGAACGCUGGCGGCGUGCUUAACACAUGCAAGUCGAACGGAAAGGCCCUUUCGGGGGUACUCGAGUGGCGAACGGGUGAGUAACACGUGGGUGAUCUGCCCUGCACUUUGGGAUAAGCCUGGGAAACUGGGUCUAAUACCGAAUACACCUUGCUGGCUGCAUGGCCUGGUGGGGGAAAGCUUUUGCGGUGUGGGAUGGGCCCGCGGCCUAUCAGCUUGUUGGUGGGGUGAUGGCCUACCAAGGCGACGACGGGUAGCCGGCCUGAGAGGGUGUCCGGCCACACUGGGACUGAGAUACGGCCCAGACUCCUACGGGAGGCAGCAGUGGGGAAUAUUGCACAAUGGGCGCAAGCCUGACGCAGCGACGCCGCGUGGGGGAUGAAGGCCUUCGGGUUGUAAACCCUUUCAGCAGGACGAAGCGAAAGUGACGGUACCUGCAGAAGAGCGCCGGCUAACUACGUGCCAGCAGCCGC